ACUAUCGUUAACUGAAUACAUAGGUUAACGAGGCGAACCGGGGGAACUGAAACAUCUAAGUACCCCGAGGAAAAGAAAUCAACCGAGAUUCCCCCAGUAGCGGCGAGCGAACGGGGAGCAGCCCAGAGUCUGAAUCAGCUUGUGUGUUAGUGGAACGGUCUGGAAAGUCCGACGGUACAGGGUGAUAGUCCCGUACACCAAAAUGCACAGGUUGUGAACUCGAAGAGUAGGGCGGGACACGUGGUAUCCUGUCUGAAUAUGGGGGGACCAUCCUCCAAGGCUAAAUACUCCUGACUGACCGAUAGUGAACCAGUACCGUGAGGGAAAGGCGAAAAGAACCCCGGCGAGGGGAGUGAAAAAGAACCUGAAACCGUGUACGUACAAGCAGUGGGAGCACCUUCGGGUGUGACUGCGUACCUUUUGUAUAAUGGGUCAGCGACUUAUAUUCUGUAGCAAGGUUAACCGUAUAGGGGAGCCGCAGGGAAACCGAGUCUUAACUGGGCGUUAAGUUGCAGGGUAUAGACCCGAAACCCGGUGAUCUAGCCAUGGGCAGGUUGAAGGUUGGGUAACACUAACUGGAGGACCGAACCGACUAAUGUUGAAAAAUUAGCGGAUGACUUGUGGCUGGGGGUGAAAGGCCAAUCAAACCGGGAGAUAGCUGGUUCUCCCCGAAAGCUAUUUAGGUAGCGCCUCGUGAAUUCAUCUUCGGGGGUAGAGCACUGUUUCGGCUAGGGGGUCAUCCCGACUUACCAACCCGAUGCAAACUACGAAUACCGAAGAAUGUUAUCACGGGAGACACACGGCGGGUGCUAACGUCCGUCGUGAAGAGGGAAACAACCCAGACCGCCAGCUAAGGUCCCAAAGUCAUGGUUAAGUGGGAAACGAUGUGGGAAGGCACAGACAGCCAGGAUGUUGGCUUAGAAGCAGCCAUCAUUUAAAGAAAGCGUAAUAGCUCACUGGUCGAGUCGGCCUGCGCGGAAGAUGUAACGGGGCUAAACCAUGCACCGAAGCUGCGGCAGCGACACUAUGUGUUGUUGGGUAGGGGAGCGUUCUGUAAGCCUGCGAAGGUGACCUGUGAGGGUUGCUGGAGGUAUCAGAAGUGCGAAUGCUGACAUAAGUAACGAUAAAGCGGGUGAAAAGCCCGCUCGCCGGAAGACCAAGGGUUCCUGUCCAACGUUAAUCGGGGCAGGGUGAGUCGACCCCUAAGGCGAGGCCGAAAGGCGUAGUCGAUGGGAAACAGGUUAAUAUUCCUGUACUUGGUGUUACUGCGAAGGGGGGACGGAGAAGGCUAUGUUAGCCGGGCGACGGUUGUCCCGGUUUAAGCAUGUAGGCUGGUUGUCCAGGCAAAUCCGGAUAAUCAAGGCUGAGGUGUGAUGACGAGGCACUACGGUGCUGAAGUAACAAAUGCCCUGCUUCCAGGAAAAGCCUCUAAGCAUCAGGUAACAUCAAAUCGUACCCCAAACCGACACAGGUGGUCAGGUAGAGAAUACCAAGGCGCUUGAGAGAACUCGGGUGAAGGAACUAGGCAAAAUGGUGCCGUAACUUCGGGAGAAGGCACGCUGGUGUGUAGGUGAAGCCCCUGCGGGUGGAGCUGAGACCAGUCGAAGAUACCAGCUGGCUGCAACUGUUUAUUAAAAACACAGCACUGUGCAAACACGAAAGUGGACGUAUACGGUGUGACGCCUGCCCGGUGCCGGAAGGUUAAUUGAUGGGGUUAUCCGUAAGGAGAAGCUCUUGAUCGAAGCCCCGGUAAACGGCGGCCGUAACUAUAACGGUCCUAAGGUAGCGAAAUUCCUUGUCGGGUAAGUUCCGACCUGCACGAAUGGCGUAAUGAUGGCCAGGCUGUCUCCACCCGAGACUCAGUGAAAUUGAACUCGCUGUGAAGAUGCAGUGUACCCGCGGCAAGACGGAAAGACCCCGUGAACCUUUACUAUAGCUUGACACUGAACAUUGAGCCUUGAUGUGUAGGAUAGGUGGGAGGCUUUGAAGCGUGGACGCCAGUCUGCGUGGAGCCAACCUUGAAAUACCACCCUUUAAUGUUUGAUGUUCUAACGUUGGCCCCUUACCGGGGUUGCGGACAGUGUCUGGUGGGUAGUUUGACUGGGGCGGUCUCCUCCCAAAGCGUAACGGAGGAGCACGAAGGUUAGCUAAUCCUGGUCGGACAUCAGGAGGUUAGUGCAAUGGCAUAAGCUAGCUUGACUGCGAGCGUGACGGCGCGAGCAGGUGCGAAAGCAGGUCAUAGUGAUCCGGUGGUUCUGAAUGGAAGGGCCAUCGCUCAACGGAUAAAAGGUACUCCGGGGAUAACAGGCUGAUACCGCCCAAGAGUUCAUAUCGACGGCGGUGUUUGGCACCUCGAUGUCGGCUCAUCACAUCCUGGGGCUGAAGUAGGUCCCAAGGGUAUGGCUGUUCGCCAUUUAAAGUGGUACGCGAGCUGGGUUUAGAACGUCGUGAGACAGUUCGGUCCCUAUCUGCCGUGGGCGCUGGAGAAUUGAGGGGGGCUGCUCCUAGUACGAGAGGACCGGAGUGGACGCAUCACUGGUGUUCGGGUUGUCAUGCCAAUGGCACUGCCCGGUAGCUAAAUGCGGAAGAGAUAAGUGCUGAAAGCAUCUAAGCACGAAACUUGCCCCGAGAUGAGUUCU
rnacentral:rRNA from 1 species